UGGGAGAGAAGCUCUAAACCCUAACUUUGAUGGCUACCUCUGAAUAAUGAUUUCUCCUCCUCUCCUCCAGGGGCCAGGGGGUCUGGUUUUAUAGUCCCCUCAAGUGAACGUGAGCCAUUAGAUCAAACCGACAUAGAUUGUAUGGUUUAGAUUGAUCCUUUAGGUCGGUGGAGAGUUGUCCCGAAAGAGAGUCCUGAUCCAACUCCUGGCC
rnacentral:lncRNA from 1 species